rnacentral:rRNA from 1 species
GGGAGGGGGGGCUAGCGUUGUUCAGAAUUACUGGGCGUAAAGGGCGCGUAGGCGGCCUGUCAAGUCAGGGGGUGAAAGGGCCCGGGCUCAACCCGGGAACUGCCCUUGAAACUGGCAAGCUAGAGUCCGAGAGAGGAUGGCGGAAUUCCCAGUGUAGAGGUGAAAUUCGUAGAUAUUGGGAAGAACACCGGUGGCGAAGGCGGCCAUCUGGCUCGGCACUGACGCUGAGGCGCGAAAGCGUGGGGAGCAAACAGGAUUAGAUACCCUGGUAGUCCACGCCGUAAACGAUGUGUGCUAGACGUUGGGGGUCUUAGGCCUUCGGUGUCGCAGCUAACGCGUUAAGCACACCGCCUGGGGAGUACGGCCGCAAGGUUA